rnacentral:rRNA from 1 species
CCUACGGGUGGCUGCAGUGGGGAAUAUUGGACAAUGGGCGAAAGCCUGAUCCAGCCAUGCCGCGUGUGUGAAGAAGGCCUUCGGGUUGUAAAGCACUUUCAGUGGGGAAGAAAGCCUUGGGGCUAAUACCCUCGAGGAAGGACAUCACCCACAGAAGAAGCACCGGCUAACUCCGUGCCAGCAGCCGCGGUAAUACGGAGGGUGCGAGCGUAAAUCGGAAUUACUGGGCGUAAAGCGCGCGUAGGCGGUCUGAUAAGCCGGUUGUGAAAGCCCCGGGCUCAACCUGGGAACGGCAUCCGGAACUGUCAGGCUAGAGUGCAGGAGAGGAAGGUAGAAUUCCCGGUGUAGCGGUGAAAUGCGUAGAGAUCGGGAGGAAUACCAGUGGCGAAGGCGGUCUUCUGGACUGACACUGACGCUGAGGUGCGAAAGCGUGGGUAGCAAACAGGAUUAGAUACCCGUGUAGUC